rnacentral:rRNA from 1 species
GAUGAACGCUGGCGGCGUGCCUAAUACAUGCAAGUCGAGCGAACAGACGAGGAGCUUGCUCCUCUGACGUUAGCGGCGGACGGGUGAGUAACACGUGGAUAACCUACCUAUAAGACUGGGAUAACUUCGGGAAACCGGAGCUAAUACCGGAUAAUAUAUUGAACCGUAUGGUUCAAUAGUGAAAGACGGUUUUGCUGUCACUUAUAGAUGUAUCCGCGCCGCAUUAGCUAGUUGGUAAGGUAACGGCUUACCAAGGCAACGAUGCGUAGCCGACCUGAGAGGGUGAUCGGCCACACUGGAACUGAGACACGGUCCAGACUCCUACGGGAGGCAGCAGUAGGGAAUCUUGCGCAAAGGGCGAAAGCCUGACGGAGCAACGCCGCGUGAGUGAUGAAGGUCUUCGGAUCGUAAAACUCUGUUAUUAGGGAAGAACAAAUGUGUAAGUAACUAUGCACGUCUUGACGGUACCUAAUCAGAAAGCAACGGCUAACUACGUG